rnacentral:rRNA from 1 species
CCUACGGGAGGCAGCAGUAGGGAAUCUUCCACAAUGGACGAAAGUCUGAUGCAGCAACGCCGCGUGGGGGAAGAAGGGUUUCGGCUCGUAAAGUCCUGUUGUUAGUGAAGAAAAUGACGGUUUCUAACUAAUAAGCACCGGCUAACUCCGUGCCAGCAGCCGCGGUAAUACGGAGGGUGCAAGCGUUACUCGGAAUCAAUGGGCGUAAAGAGCGCGGAGGCGGUAUAGCAAGUCUGAUGUGAAAGCCUAUGGCUUAACCGUAGAAUUGCAUUUGAAACUGUUGAGCUAGAGUAUGGGAGAGGAAGGUGGAACUCUGGGUGUAGGGGUAGAAUGCGUAGAGAUCAGGAAGAAUACUAGUGGCGAAGGCGGCCCGCUAGA